CCCUUAGAUGUUCUGGGCCGCACGCGUGCUACACUGAGUAAUUCAAUGGGUAAGGGAACGCUAGAGCAUUACCUAAUCUUGAAAUUUGCUCGUGAUGGGGAUCGACGGUUGCAAUUUUCCGUCGUGAACGAGGAAUACCUUGUAGGCGCAUGUCAUCAUCAUGCGCCGAAUACGUCCCUGCCCUUUGUACACACCGCCCGUCGCUCCUACCGAUUGAGUGAUCCGGUGAGGCUCUGGGACCUGGACGGAAAGAGCGUUUCGCUUGUUCUGUUUGGGAAAUUUGGUCGAACCUUAUCAUUUAGAGGAAGGAGAAGUCGUAACA
rnacentral:rRNA from 1 species